rnacentral:rRNA from 1 species
AACGAACGCUGGCGGCAUGCCUAAUACAUGCAAGUCGAACGAGAUCUUCGGAUCUAGUGGCGCACGGGUGCGUAACGCGUGGGAAUCUACCCUUGGGUUCGGAAUAACGUCGGGAAACUGACGCUAAUACCGGAUGAUGACGUAAGUCCAAAGAUUUAUCGCCCAAGGGUGAGCCCGCGUAGGAUUAGCUAGUUGGUGGGGUAAAGGCCUACCAAGGCGACGAUCCUUAGCUGGUCUGAGAGGAUGAUCAGCCACACUGGGACUGAGACACGGCCCAGACUCCUACGGGAGGCAGCAGUAGGGAAUAUUGGACAAUGGGGGCAACCCUGAUCCAGCAAUGCCGCGUGAGCGAUGAAGGCCUUAGGGUUGUAAAGCUCUUUUACCCGAGAUGAUAAUGACAGUAUCGGGAGAAUAAGCCCCGGCUAACUCCGUGCCAGCCGCCGCUGUAA